rnacentral:lncRNA from 1 species
UUUUAAUUACGUCUCAUUCUAAUCCUUAACGUUUAUCUAAAAAGUGACGGGGGCGGACACGAGGGCGGGUCGGGAGCGGCUGAGCCCCGCGGUCGCCGUGUGUCUAAUUAGAAGCGCCCUUCUUCUUGAUCAACUCGAGUCAAAUUCAUUUACUCUGCUCGAAUUGAGGGUUUAAUUGGAUUCUUGUUUUCCCUCCUCCUGCCUUCGGCCCCGCCAUCUCCUUUGCCUUCCAAAGGGCCUCUCUCCGCGCAGGAAGCAGCCCCGAGCAUCUCCUGAGGACAGACAGACAGCCCCUGAUGGAUACAUGGAUGGAGAUAUUGAACCUGCACAGCUGCUGACGGCCCCAGGCUGGAGACGGCGAACGCUGCGUGCCUCCUGAUGGAAACACGAAGCUCCAUCAGGUUGUCUCACUAAAAAAGCCAAACUUGAGUCUGAUCAAGCCUCAAAAACUGAUUGUCAAUUCAUCGAAAAUACAGAGGGCAGAGGGAUGCGUUGGAAGCCAUCAUGGGGCCGCGGUUGGUAAAGCCCACACUGGGACACACAAGUCAAGCUUCUGGUGUCUUAAAAAAAAUUUUUUUUUUUAAAGAGAAAGGUCCAGCCACUUUGGAAGACAGUUUGGCGGUUUCUUACCAAACUAAACAUACUCUUAUAUGAUCCAGCACCCAUGCUCCUUGGUGUUGAUCCAAAGGUAGUUGAAAACUUAUUUCCACAAAUGUUUAUAGCAGCUUUAUUCAUAUUUGCCAAAACUUAGAAGCAACCGAGAUGUCCUUCGGUAGGUGAUGGAGAAAUAAACUGUGGUCCCUCCAGACAAUGGAAUAUUAUUCAGCCCUGAAAAGAAAUGAGCGAUCAAGCCAUGAAAAGACAUGGAGGAAACUGAAAAGCAUCAGAAGUGAAAGAAACCAGUCUGAAAAGGCUACAGACUGUGUGAUUCCAGCUCUACGAUGUUCUGGAAAGGGCGGAACUGUGGAGCCAGGAAAAAGCUCAGAGGUUGCCAGGCCUUCCAGGAGUGACGGAUAGAUGUGCACGGAGGAUUUUCCAGGCAGUGAAAAUUCUCUGUGUGAUACUCUAAGGAUGGAUACACGCCAUUAUGUUUUUGCCCAAAUCCAUAGAAUUUAGGACGCCAAGAUUGAAGUGUAUUGUAAACUAUAGACUGUGGGUGAUAAUGAUGCGUCAAUGUAGGUUCAUCAGUUUUAACAAAUGUCCCACUCUGGAUGGGGAUGUUGAUAAUGGGGGAGGCUGUGCAAGUGCAAAGGCAGAGGGUAUAUGGGGAAUCU